rnacentral:rRNA from 1 species
UACGGAGGGUGCAAGCGUUAUCCGGAUUCACUGGGUUUAAAGGGUGCGUAGGCGGGUAUGUAAGUCAGCGGUGAAAUCCCCGAGCUUAACUUGGGAACUGCCGUUGAUACUAUAUAUCUUGAAUGUCGUGGAGGUUAGCGGAAUAUGUCAUGUAGCGGUGAAAUGCUUAGAUAUGACAUAGAACACCCAUUGCGAAGGCAGCUAACUACGCGAAUAUUGACGCUGAGGCACGAAAGCGUGGGGAUCAAACAGG